GAUGAACGCUGGCGGCGUGCUUAACACAUGCAAGUCGAACGAAGCACUUUAUUUGAUUUCCUUCGGGACUGAUUAUUUUGUGACUGAGUGGCGGACGGGUGAGUAACGCGUGGGUAACCUGCCUUGUACAGGGGGAUAACAGUUGGAAACGGCUGCUAAUACCGCAUAAGCGCACAGCAUCGCAUGAUGCAGUGCGAAAAACUCCGGUGGUAUAAGAUGGACCCGCGUUGGAUUAGCUAGUUGGUGAGGUAACGGCCCACCAAGGCGACGAUCCAUAGCCGACCUGAGAGGGUGACCGGCCACAUUGGGACUGAGACACGGCCCAAACUCCUACGGGAGGCAGCAGUGGGGAAUAUUGCACAAUGGGCGAAAGGCUGAUGCAGCGACGCCGCGUGAGCGAAGAAGUAUUUCGGGAUGUAAAGCUCUAUCAGCAGGGAAGAUAAUGACGGUACCUAACUAAGAAGCACCGGCUAAAUACGUG
rnacentral:rRNA from 1 species